GAGUCAAGAAAUACGAGAAUAAGCUUCUAACUUAAUUCCCUAGUGGUGAAAAUCCAUUAAUGACUCU
rnacentral:tRNA from 2 species